rnacentral:rRNA from 1 species
GACGAACGCUGGCGGCGUGCCUAAUACAUGCAAGUUGAGCGAUGAAGCUUGGUGCUUGCACCAAUUUGAAGAGCAGCGAACGGGUGAGUAACGCGUGGGGAAUCUGCCUUUGAGCGGGGGACAACAUUUGGAAACGAAUGCUAAUACCGCAUAACAACUUUAAACAUAAGUUUUAAGUUUGAAAGAUGCAAUUGCAUCACUCAAAGAUGAUCCCGCGUUGUAUUAGCUAGUUGGUGAGGUAAAGGCUCACCAAGGCGAUGAUACAUAGCCGACCUGAGAGGGUGAUCGACCACAUUGGGACUGAGACACGGCCCAAACUCCUACGGGAGGCAGCAGUAGGGAAUCUUCGGCAAUGGACGAAAGUCUGACCGAGCAACGCCGCGUGAGUGAAGAAGGUUUUCGGAUCGUAAAACUCUGUUGGUAGAGAAGAACGUUGGUGAGAGUGGAAAGCUCAUCAAGUGACGGUAACUACCCAGAAAGGGACGGCUAACUACGU